rnacentral:sRNA from 1 species
UUUUUUUCUUUCUUUAUUACAUUUCAUCCAUGCAAAGUUUAAUAGUUAAAAUAUUCAUUUGUAAAUUUUACUUUUAAAAAAUUGAUCAUAUAAACAAAAAAAAUAUUUUUUUCUCUAUUAUUUGAUAUACAUUUUGUUUAAUUAUUUUUAAUUUUUAUAUUACUGAGUACUGUACAAAUAAUAUCUAUACAUAUAUAGCUGUACAGAUAGCGGUGUACAUAUAGCGGUGUACAGAUAGCGAUGUACAGAAAACAUUGUGCAAAUUACCUGAACUUCUUUCAAAAUGGCAAGUAUUACUGAUGAAUGUAUAGCUCUUUUCUGUAUUAUUCAUGUAAAAGUAAAAGUAAACCAAAACCAUAAGAAGAAUUUAAGAAGUUGAUUAAUCUCUUUUUUCAGAUUAUAAGGAUAAUUUAAGUAGAGAAAUCACUUGAGGUUUUUGAACUUUUUGAAGACCCAAAAAGAAAGUGAAUGCAAUCUCAUAUUGAUUUGAAAGUUAAUGCAUUAAGUUGGCCAUGGUAUUGAUUUGAUACGAGUUAAUGCAAUCACCGUCUUUGUUUAAAAAGAAAGUUAUACUUUUCACGAUACGAAAUAUUUAUGUUGGAACAAUUAUUUUAAAUUUUGACUGUUAGGUGAUUUUGUAGCUAUACUUUGGCAUAAUCAUCCAUCUGAAUCAACACACGAGCAAUAUACAAUAUAUUACCCAUAAUAGUAUUUUGUAUAGCUGUUUCGAAAUUCAGAGUAAACUGUACAUCUGUUUUGAAAUUCUGAAAAUUGUACAGUAUGACUACGAAAAUAAAGGGGAUGGAUACAAACGAAAAUAUAACUUUGUCGUUAAACUGUUGUACAUAUAUUUGUACAGAUAUUAUGCUGUACAGAUAAUUUUGUCGUUAGACUGUUGUAAAGUGCUUUGUAAUAAAAAUUUAGAAAAUCAUGAAACAAAAUGCAUAUCAAAUUAUAGAGAAGAAAAUAUAGAUUUUUUAUUUUAUGAUAAAUUUUAGAAAAAUAAAAUUUACAAAUGAAGAUUUUAGUUAUUAAACUUAGAAGGGAUGAAAUGUAGUAAAGAAAGAAAAAUAAAUUUAAA